rnacentral:rRNA from 1 species
GGAGAGCUUGCUCUCUGGGUGGCGAGUGGCGGACGGGUGAGGAAUACAUCGGAAUCUACUCUGUCGUGGGGGAUAACGUAGGGAAACUUACGCUAAUACCGCAUACGACCUACGGGUGAAAGCAGGGGACCUUCGGGCCUUGCGCGAUUGAAUGAGCCGAUGUCGGAUUAGCUAGUUGGCGGGGUAAAGGCCCACCAAGGCGACGAUCCGUAGCUGGUCUGAGAGGAUGAUCAGCCACACUGGAACUGAGACACGGUCCAGACUCCUACGGGAGGCAGCAGUGGGGAAUAUUGGACAAUGGGCGCAAGCCUGAUCCAGCCAUACCGCGUGGGUGAAGAAGGCCUUCGGGUUGUAAAGCCCUUUUGUUGGGAAAGAAAUCCAGCUGGCUAAUACCCGGUUGGGAUGACGGUACCCAAAGAAUAAGCACCGGCUAACUUCGUGCCAGCAGCCGCGGUAAUACGAAGGGUGCAAGCGUUACUCGGAAUUACUGGGCGUAAAGCGUGCGUAGGUGGUCGUUUAAGUCCGUUGUGAAAGCCCUGGGCUCAACCUGGGAACUGCAGUGGAUACUGGGCGACUAGAAUGUGGUAGAGGGUAGCGGAAUUCCUGGUGUAGCAGUGAAAUGCGUAGAGAUCAGGAGGAACAUCCAUGGCGAAGGCAGCUACCUGGACCAACAUUGACACCUGAGGCACGAAAGCGUGGGGAGCAAACAAGGAUUAGAUACCCUGGUAGUCCACGCCCUAAACGAAUGCGAACUGGAUGUUGGGUGGCAAUUUGGGCACGCAGUAUCGAAGCUAACGCGUUAAGUUCGCC